rnacentral:lncRNA from 1 species
GACCUUGUUGUUUCUCUGCUCCUCAUCAGCACCUGCUCCUCCGCUCCACCGGCCAUCCCGCCACCCACCCACCCAUCCGUCCACCCAUCCAUCCAGCUGGCCGGGCCACCUGCAGGAGUCAUCAGGAUGCAGCGAAGACACUAAGACAGAGCCAAGUCUGUGGGACCACCUCUCUAGGUCUGCCUCCAUUAGAGCGCCAUCUGCUGACUCGGUGCGGAGGGACAGCUGGUGUUGUGAAUCAGGCCGCCACAGUCAAGGGACCGGCUACUUCCCAACACCAGGGUCUCAUCGCCGCCGCUCACGCCGCAGACCUCAGGCCGCUCUGUUUCUUGAUGCUCCUGCUGUGAUGGAGACGAUGAAACAUCUAGAUUAGAAACAUUUUACUAAAGUAACUGAAUAAAUACUGUUCUGUUUU